GAUGAACGCUGGCGGCGUGCCUAAUACAUGCAAGUCGAGCGAACAGACGAGGAGCUUGCUCCUCUGACGUUAGCGGCGGACGGGUGAGUAACACGUGGAUAACCUACCUAUAAGACUGGGAUAACUUCGGGAAACCGGAGCUAAUACCGGAUAAUAUAUUGAACCGCAUGGUUCAAUAGUGAAAGACGGUUUUGCUGUCACUUAUAGAUGGAUCCGCGCCGCAUUAGCUAGUUGGUAAGGUAACGGCUUACCAAGGCAACGAUGCGUAGCCGACCUGAGAGGGUGAUCGGCCACACUGGAACUGAGACACGGUCCAGACUCCUACGGGAGGCAGCAGUAGGGAAUCUUCCGCAAUGGGCGAAAGCCUGACGGAGCAACGCCGCGUGUGUGAUGAAGGUCUUCGGAUCGUAAAACUCUGUUAGUAGGGAAGAACAAAUGUGUAAGUAACUAUGCACGUCUUGACGGUACCUAAUCAGAAAGCCACGGCUAACUACGUG
rnacentral:rRNA from 1 species